rnacentral:rRNA from 1 species
UGCCAGCCGCCGCGGUAAUACGAGGGGUGCUAGCGUUGUCCGGAAUUAUUGGGCGUAAAGAGCUCGUAGGCGGUUGCGUAAGUCGGAUGUGAAAGCUCAGGGCUCAACCCUGAGACGCCAUCCGAUACUGCGCUGACUUGAAUCCAGUAGGGGAGUGUGGAAUUCCUGGUGUAGCGGUGAAAUGCGCAGAUAUCAGGAGGAACACCUAUGGCGAAGGCAGCACUCUGGACCGAUACUGACGCUGAGGCGCGAAGGCGUGGGUAGCGAACGGGAUUAGAUA